AGUGAACGCUGGCGGUAGGCCUAACACAUGCAAGUCGAACGGCAGCACAGUAAGAGCUUGCUCUUACGGGUGGCGAGUGGCGGACGGGUGAGGAAUACAUCGGAAUCUACUUUUUCGUGGGGGAUAACGUAGGGAAACUUACGCUAAUACCGCAUACGACCUACGGGUGAAAGCAGGGGAUCUUCGGACCUUGCGCGAUUGAAUGAGCCGAUGUCGGAUUAGCUAGUUGGCGGGGUAAAGGCCCACCAAGGCGACGAUCCGUAGCUGGUCUGAGAGGAUGAUCAGCCACACUGGAACUGAGACACGGUCCAGACUCCUACGGGAGGCAGCAGUGGGGAAUAUUGGACAAUGGGCGCAAGCCUGAUCCAGCCAUACCGCGUGGGUGAAGAAGGCCUUCGGGUGGUAAAGCCCUUUUGUUGGAAAGAAAAGCAGCAGGUUAAUACCCCGCUGUUCUGACGGUACCCAAAGAAUAAGCACCGGCUAACUUCGUG
rnacentral:rRNA from 1 species